UCAAAAAUACAAGACACUUAUUCUUAAAUAAGACANNNNNNNNNNNNNNNNNNNNNNNNNNNNNNNNUGUGAAAUUAUGAAAGGAAAAAUAAAAAUACAAUUAUUUGGUGACAACAAAAUAACUAAAUGGAAGUACAUGGAAUAUUUCCAGCCAAAUGUAUGACGUGCACGACAUUUGUGCAUUCUCUUUGGUUGGAUGAGGAGUGCUAGCAACACACUUUUUAACAAAGUGUGUUGGAGUGUGUUUGUUAAAGAGUGUGUUGCUAGCAUUAUUCUUGGUUGUAUACUUAGACAAUCAGGUGCUUCACUCCAGCACAUACACAUAUGUUGUCAAUGCACUUAUUAUAAACAAAAGGAAAGAGGCAGAUACUCUUUUUACAAUCGUCAUCACUAUUACAUUCGUCAUGUGCUGUAGUUAAAAAAUAGAUUAGAAUAAUUAACUUAACUAAUUAGUUGAUAGGAACUUCGUAAAAUAUAUGCAACGCAAGGGUUAAAGUUUGAACUUUAAACAUUUCAUUUAUUCAUUUUAAGUGUGAAAUUCUAGUCACUAGACUACUUAAAAAUUUUAAAUUUUUUUUGUACAAACUACAAAUUAAAGAUGUAAAAUUAAAACAUGUGAAAUAAUGGCUUACCAUCGGUGUAUGUUGCAACAAGAAAUAAAAAAAGAAAUAGAAUCAUAACAUAAAUAAACUUGUGAAUUUGAGUCAUAUUUUUCUCAUUUACUUGUAGAAAAUAGGGCAUGAUUUGAUCACUUUUAUAGUGUUUAAAGUUCAUGCUCUCCAAAAAAAUUCUUAAAUAUUCUUUUAAAAA
rnacentral:lncRNA from 1 species